UACGGGGGGGAGCAAGCGUUGUUCGGAUUUACUGGGCGUAAAGGGCGCGUAGGCGGCAAUUCAAGUCAUCUGUGAAAUCUCCGAGCUUAACUCGGAACGGUCAGAUGAUACUGCUUUGCUAGAGUGCAGAAGGGGCAACCGGAAUUCUUGGUGUAGCGGUGAAAUGCGUAGAUAUCAAGAGGAACACCGGAGGUGAAGACGGGUUGCUGGGCUGACACUGACGCUGAGGCGCGAAAGCUAGGGUAGCAAACGGGG
rnacentral:rRNA from 1 species